rnacentral:rRNA from 1 species
CAGUCGCCACGGGAAAACGUAGGGUGCAAGCGUUACCCGGAUUUACUGGGCGUAAAGGGCGUGUAGGCGGCCUGGGGCGUCCCGUGUGAAAGGCCACGGCUCAACCGUGGAGGAGCGUGGGAUACGCUCAGGCUAGAGGGUGGGAGAGGGUGGUGGAAUUCCCGGAGUAGCGGUGAAAUGCGCAGAUACCGGGAGGAACGCCGAUGGCGAAGGCAGCCACCUGGUCCACUUCUGACGCUGAGGCGCGAAAGCGUGGGGAGCAAACCGGAUUAGAUACCCCCGUAGUCCCUGUCUCUUAUAC